UUACGGCCUUAUCACGUUGAACCCCAGCUUCCCGUACGAUCACCGAAGUGAAGCAACAUCGAGCAUGGUCAUUACCUAGAUGGGUGACGGCUUGGGAAUACCA